rnacentral:miRNA from 2 species
CAUAUAAUAUGGGACGGAGGGAG